rnacentral:rRNA from 1 species
UACAGAGGUCCCAAGCGUUGUUCGGAUUCACUGGGCGUAAAGGGUGCGUAGGUGGUGAGGUAAGUCGGAUGUGAAAGCUCCGAGCUCAACUCGGAAAUGGCAUUGGAAACUACCUUGCUCGAGGGUUUGAGGGGGGACUGGAAUACUUGGUGUAGCAGUGAAAUGCGUAGAUAUCAAGUAGAACACCAGUGGCGAAGGCGACACGCUGGGCCGUACCUGACACUGAUGCGCGACAGCAUGGGGAGCAAACAGG